rnacentral:rRNA from 1 species
GAUGAACGCUGGCGGUGUGCCUAACACAUGCAAGUCGAGCGGACAGAUCAGGAGCUUUCUUCUUUGUAGUACUCGGCGGAUGGUUGAGUAACACUUGGUAACCUUACCUAUAACACUCUUAUAACUUCGGAUAACCUGGGCAAAUCCCGGCUAACAUUUAGAACCACAUUUUUCUAGAGUGAAAGAUGGUUUUGCUAUCACUUAUACAUUGUCCCGAGCCGUAUUAGCUAGUUGGUAAGGUAAAGGUUUACCAAGGCGACGAUAAGUAGCCGACCUGAGAGGGUGAACGGCCACAUUGGAACUGAGACACGGCCCAGACUCCUACGGGAGGCAGCAGUAGGGAAUCUUCCGCAAUGGGCGAAAGCCUGACGGAGCAAUGCCGCGUGAGUGAAGAAGGGUUUCGGGUCGUAAAACUCUGUCAUUAGCGAAGAAAGAAUGUGGAAGUAACUGAGAAUACCAUGACGGUAGAUAAGCAGAAAGCCACGGCUAACUACGUG